GAUGAACGCUGACAGAAUGCUUAACACAUGCAAGUCUUUGGCGAAGCUGUGCUUGCACAGCCUAGCCAAGGCGGACGGGUGAGUAACGCGUAAGGAACUUGCCCUGCAGUCAGGGAUAACAGACGGAAACGACUGAUAAGACCUGGUAAAGUCAGGCGGACUCAUGUCCAGCCUGAUGAAAAGAGAUGCUGCAGGAGAGCCUUGCGUCCUAUUAGCUUGUUGGUGGGGUAACGGCCCACCAAGGCGAUGAUAGGUAGCCGGCCUGAGAGGGUGGACGGCCACAAGGGGACUGAGAUACGGCCCUUACUCCUACGGGAGGCAGCAGUGGGGAAUAUUGGACAAUGGGGGCAACCCUGAUCCAGCAAUUCUGUGUACACGAUGAAGGUUUUCGGAUUGUAAAGUGCUUUCAGCAGGGAAGAAAAAAAUGACGGUACCUGCAGAAGAAGCGACGGCUAAAUACGUG
rnacentral:rRNA from 1 species